CCCUUAGAUGUUCUGGGCUGCACGCGCGCUACACUGAUGCAUUCAACGAGUUUUACCUUGGCCGAGAGGCCUGGGCAAUCUUUUAAACCUUCAUCGUGAUAGGGAUAGAUUAUUGCAAUUAUUAAUCUUGAACGAGGAAUUCCUAGUAAACGCAAAUCAUCAAUUUGCAUUGAUUACGUCCCUGCCCUUUGUACACACCGCCCGUCGCACCUACCGAUUGAAUGGUCCGGUGAAGCCUCGGGAUUGUGGCCAGUUCACUUUAUUGGGAGUUGGCUGUGAGAACUUGUCUAAACCUUAUCAUUUAGAGGAAGGUGAAGUCGUAACA
rnacentral:rRNA from 1 species